rnacentral:rRNA from 1 species
GAUGAACGCUGGCGGCGUGCCUAAUACAUGCAAGUCGAGCGAACGGACGAGAAGCUUGCUUCUCUGAUGUUAGCGGCGGACGGGUGAGUAACACGUGGAUAACCUACCUAUAAGACUGGGAUAACUUCGGGAAGCCGGAGCUAAUACCGGAUGAUAUUUUGAACCGCAUGGUUCAAAAGUGAAAGACGGUCUUGCUGUCACUUAUAGAUGGAUCCGCGCUGCAUUAGCUAGUUGGUAAGGUAACGGCUUACCAAGGCAACGAUGCAUAGCCGACCUGAGAGGGUGAUCGGCCACACUAGAACUGAGACACGGUCCAGACUCCUACGGGAGGCAGCAGUAGGGAAUCUUCCGCAAUGGGCGAAAGCCUGACGGAGCAACGCCGCGUGAGUGAUGAAGGUCUUCGGAUCGUAAAACUCUGUUAUUAGGGAAGAACAUAUGUGUAAGUAACUGUGCACAUCUUGACGGUACCUAAUCAGAAAGCCACGGCUAACUACGUG